UUUUAUACUAUCGAUAGAGAUGAUAAGAAAUAAAGAUGGUAAAUCGUUGGUGUUGGUGGCUGGACAGAUUAUCACGGAACGACGAGCUGCCUUAAAAGCUAAGCAUGUGGACAUGCUUGUCUUUCUUAAUCAUAACUCUUGGAUCUUGGCAGAAGAAUAAAAGCCAUGCAUUUAAUUUUAAUUUUAUCUAAACUUUUUUUUUUUGUUAUUGUCCAUGAAGGAUCUCAUUAUUGUUCAUUAAAAUUUUUAUUUUUA